GAGAAUAGAGGUCAUUGUACGUGGCUGUUGAGCGCUUUGCAGGUGUUGAUCUUGCAGUGGGAUCUGUCUGGCCGCAGGACCGUGGUUGCAGACAUUGAUUCCAGCAGAAACUCAGUAAGCAGCGGCGACCUGUGCAAAGCGCUGCUCGGAAUGGACCUCUGCUGAGGAAUCAAGCGUUGAGUAAAAAGAAUGUUUGGGCCAGGUGACGGCAGAAGUCUGGCUGUUUUGGAUGGUGGCAGAAGAUGGAAGCAGGUGUUCUUGGGACUGCUGAGCUUUUGACAUGUUUUUACUCCUACAUGUUGGGCUUGUUUGCUUGUAGAAGGAAGACUGUUACGUGUAGUUUUCACAGCGAGCUUCUGUUAUGAUUUCUUGAUGAUUUUAAUCCAAAAUAUUAGAAGGAGUGUUUCAAGAAAGGACCCUACCAGUGCCGGUAAGUUCCUACUCAGCUCUGCAUGAGGGACCCCGCUGUGGAGGGAAGCGUUCAAGAAGCGUUUAGAUUUAGAUGUAGUGUUGAGAGACGUGGUUUAGUGGGGUUAUUGGUGGUAGGUGGAUGGUUGGACUGGAUGAUCUUGAAGAUCUUUACCAACCUAGCUAGUUCUGUGAUUCUAUGAUUCUAAAUGUAACUAAGGGCAGCUCAGAAUCCUCUCUUGCCAGCUUCACGUGCUGGAUUUUGAGCUUCUGAAGUGUGCUCCAUCUGUCUAAGGUGUUCCCUUCUGCUUGAAAGGAGAAGGGCUGCAAGGUGGUAUUUCUCUUGCGGCUUGCAGCUGUGCUCCUUGGCACAGAGGGCUCUCAGUCUUCCCCAUCAUUUCCACGUGGCAGACCAUUAGGCAGACGUAAUGCGUGUCCCAAAUGCAGCCUUCUAUUCCUCUAGUCUGAGCGACAUUUUAUUUUGAGGAGGAAGGAAAGAAUGUGGUAGAAUCAGAAUGAUAUUUGAGUGCUAACACAGGGUGGUGAGUGAGGGCCCCAGAAGCCAACUUGUUGCUGUGAGAGCAUUGUCCAAUGACAAGGUCGGAGGUAACACCUGCUGGCGGAUGGGGACACUAGUGUUGGCUUUAGGUGAGGAGAAAGUGAAACACGAUGACUGAGCUGACUGCAAAGAGCUUCUGGGGGAGGCUUGGUGCCACCUUUGAAUUUGAUCUGAUGAACUGCUUGUGUGCUGAUGUCCAGGCAGGCUUUGGGGAGCAGACUACAUAGCAGGGUAUGUGGGGUAGGACUGGGGCUUGGACCAGGCCAGGUGGAAUGCAGUGGGCUUUGCUCUCGUUCUUAGUGCUUGUUUUUGCUCAGGAGGGGCAAGGUGGUGAAGCUGGUGAACGAAUGGCUGCAGAUGAGGUUUGCGGAGCAAGAGGUCCUGCAGGUCUUCUGUGACACCCAUGAAGCUGUAGCGAGGUUGCCUCAGUGUAAAACACGAGAAAUGCACAGAGAUCUGCAGGGGAGAUGUGGCAGAAUGUAUCUGACGAAUGAUUUGCGGUGUCAUUCUACCACCCAAAACACUCCUGAUAAUGGCGUAGCUGAGAAAAAGUGUGGUGUCAAUGCGUUUCCUGGACUCAGAUGAAAAGGAUGGCUGCAGAGAUGUUGGCCUUGAGGCAGGAGUUGUUAGCAGCGUUGGAGACUGGCCUGUAAUCUUUGGUGGUGAAAGUGGAUGGUAAGGCUCCGUGCGCUCAGGUGGGAGCAGAGCGAGGCCAGCAGGGAAAGCUUGUGAGCAGUCCCACACCUAGAAUCA